UCAGUUCGGAUUGAGGCUGAAACCCGCCUCCAUGAAGUUGGAUUCGCUAGUAAUCGCGCAUCAGCCAUGGCGCGGUGAAUACGUUCCCGGGCCUUGUACACACCGCCCGUCAAGCCAUGGGAGCCGGGGGUGCCUGAAGUUCGUGACCGUCACAGGAGCGACCUAAGGCAAGACCGAUGACUGGGGCUAAGUCGUAACAAGGUAUC
rnacentral:rRNA from 1 species